AUGAAAGUCAAAGAACACUACCUGGCGGGUAGAAAGGUGGUAUUGAAAUCUGGUAACUUGGCCAGAGUGUGGGAUGAUUGUAUCGACGGUGAAACUCCCUUUCGUGUCAAAUUUCCUGAGCUUUACAACAUCUGUAACGAUCAAGGGAUCACGGUCGCUAAGUUUAAGAAUGGUGUAGAUGAUAACUUUUUUCGAAGGCGCCUCCAUCCUCCCUUGCUGGAGCAGUGGAGGAAUAUGAGUAAUGUGGUAUCCCUAUGGCCGAUCUCUAACGAACCUGACCAAAUU
rnacentral:rRNA from 1 species